rnacentral:rRNA from 1 species
UGCCAGCCGCCGCGGUAAUACGGAGGGGGCUAGCGUUGUUCGGAAUUACUGGGCGUAAAGGGCGUCUAGGUGGUCUGGCAAGUCAGGUGUGAAAGCCCUCGGCUCAACCGAGGAAGUGCACCUGAAACUGCCAGACUUGAGUACUGGAGGGGGCGGCGGAAUUCCCGGUGUAGAGGUGAAAUUCGUAGAUAUCGGGAGGAACACCAGCGGCGAAGGCGGCCGCCUGGCCAGAUACUGACACUGAAGCGCGAAAGCGUGGGGAGCAAACAGGAUUAGAUA